CAUCAAGACAAUCGCAACAGCAUUAUACUGGCCACUCGAAAUCUGGCGCGUCAACAUCCUUUUUGUGAUAAGAGUGUUGCAUAUAAAAGCUCUACAAACCACCAUUUUUCGCAAAUUCCACUGAGAACUUCAAAGAGACAGACGCGGAGCAUGAAAUUUUUCCGAGUAGGUGCAUUGAUUGCACCGCUGGUGCUGGUCCUUCUGGCUACCAAUGUGCAUUCCAGGGCCACCCGUGAUCUAAUUAUUUUGCCCAGCGGCGGUGGUGGCGGCGGCGGAGGCGGCGGUGGUGGUGGUGGUGGCGGCGG